rnacentral:rRNA from 1 species
UACGAAGGGGGCUAGCGUUGCUCGGAAUGACUGGGCGUAAAGGGCGCGUAGGCGGUUCGUACAGUCAGACGUGAAAUUCCCGGGCUCAACCUGGGGACUGCGUUUGAUACGUGCGGGCUUGAGUUCGGAAGAGGGUCGGUGGAAUUCCCAGUCGUAGAGGUGAAAUUCGUAGAUAUUGGGAAGAACACCGGUGGCGAAGGCGGCGACCUGGUCCGAUACUGACGCUCAUGCACGAAGCGUAGGGAGCGGAA